AAGAAAGUAAUUAAGAGCGUAUGGCGGAUGCCUUGGCUCUCAGAUGCGAUGAAGGACGUGACAAGCUGCGAUAAGCUUCGGGGAGGUGCAAAUAACCUUCGAUCCGGAGAUUUCCGAAUGGGGCAACCCACCACGUUGAAGACGUGGUAUCCUGCGAGCGAUCGUAGGAAGCGAACCUGGUGAACUGAAACAUCUAAGUAACCAGAGGAAUAGAAAACAAUAGUGAUUCCCCAAGUAGUGGCGAGCGAACGGGGAUUAGCCCAAACCACAAUUGUUAAGGCAAAUGUGGGGUUGUAGGACUGCAAUGUGGACUGUAAAUUUGUAGUGGAAUACUUCUGGAAAGUUGAACCAUAGUAGGUGAUAGUCCUGUACACGAAACAAAUUUACUACCUAGCAGUAUCCUGAGUACCGCGGGACCGGAGAAAUCCUGUGGGAAUCUGCCAGCACCAUCUGGUAAGGCUAAAUAUUUCUGAGAGACCGAUAGCGAACAAGUACCGUGAGGGAAAGGUGAAAAGUACUUCGAACAGAAGAGUGAAAUAGAACCUGAAACCGUACGCUUACAAUCGGUCGGAGCUCCAAGCAAUUGGGGUGACGGCGUGCCUUUUGCAUAAUGAGCCUACGAGUUACUCCUCUCUGGCAAGGUUAAACCCGUUGACGGGUGGAGCCGAAGCGAAAGCAAGUCUGAAUAGGGCGAUUCAGUCAGAGGGGGUAGACGCGAAACUUUGUGAUCUACCCAUGGUCAGGUUGAAGCGACGGUAAAACGUCGUGGAGGACCGAACUAGUUAACGUUGAAAAGUUUUUAGAUGAACUGUGGGUAGGGGUGAAAGGCUAAUCAAACUGAGAGAUAGCUCGUACUCCCCGAAAUGCCUUUAGGGGCAGCCUCGGAGUAGAGUGUCAUAGAGGUAGAGCUACUGAUAGGACUAGGGGGCUUCACCGCCUACCAAAUCCUGACAAACUCCGAAUACUAUGACAUAUAUCCGGGAGUGAGCGCAUGGGUGCUAAGGUCCGUGCGCGAGAGGGAAACAACCCAGACCAUCAGCUAAGGUCCCUAAAUAUAUGCUAAGUUGAUCUAACGAAGUCCAAUUGCACUGACAGCUAGGAUGUUGGCUUGGAAGCAGCCAUUCAUUUAAAGAGUGCGUAACAGCUCACUAGUCGAGCGAUCGGGCGUGGAUGAUAAUCGGGCAUUAAGCAUAUUACCGAAGCUAUGGAUCCAGUAAUGGGUCGUAGGGGAGCAUUCCAGUUGCAGCGAAGGUGUACCGUAAGGUAUAUUGGAGCGGCUGGAAAAGAAAAUGUAGGCAUAAGUAACGAUAAUGCAGGUGAGAAACCUGCACACCGAAAGACUAAGGUUUCCUGAUCAACGCUAAUCGGAUCAGGGUUAGUCGGGCCCUAAGGUUAAUCCGAAAGGAGAUACCGAUGGAAGAUAGGUUAAUAUUCCUAUACUGGCUUAUACUGCUAUGGGGUGACGAAGGAGUGACAGGUCUGCGUACUGACGGAAUAGUACGUUGAAGGGUGUAGGUAUACGUUCGAUAGGCAAAUCCGUCGAAUGUGCUGAAACCCGAUAGUACCGUGAGUCUUCGGACAAGCGGAUAAUGACCGUAAUCAGACUUCCAAGAAAAACCUCUACGCUUCAGGUAUAAGCUACCCGUACCGUAAACCGACACAGGUAGUCGAGGAGAGUAUCCAAAGGUGCUCGAGUGAAUCAUGGCUAAGGAACUAGGCAAAUUAGUCCUGUAACUUCGGGAUAAAGGACCCCCAAGCAAUUGGGGCGCAGAGAAAUGGCCCAGGCGACUGUUUAUCAAAAACACAUGGCUUUGCUAAAUUUAAUGAUGAUGUAUAAGGCCUGACACCUGCCCGGUGCUGGAAGGUUAAGAGGAGGGCUUAGUGUUACCAUCACGGUGGCACGAAGGUCUGAAUUGAAGCCCCAGUAAACGGCGGCCGUAACUAUAACGGUCCUAAGGUAGCGAAAUUCCUUGUCGGGUAAGUUCCGACCUGCACGAAUGGUGUAACGAUCUGGGCACUGUCUCAGCCACGAGCUCGGUGAAAUUGUAGUUCCGGUGAAGAUGCCGGAUACCCGCAACGGGACGGAAAGACCCCGUGAACCUUUACUAUAGCUUAACAUUGAUUUUGGAUAAGUGAUGUGUAGGAUAGGUCGGAGACUGUGAACCGGUUUCGCUAGGAAUCGGGGAGUCAACGUUGAAAUACGACCCUUCAUUUAUCUGGAAUCUAAUCCGUCAGCUGACGGAGACAUUGUUUGGUGGGUAGUUUGACUGGGGUGGUCGCCUCCAAAAGAGUAACGGAGGCUCCUAAAGGUGCCCUCAGCACGAUUGGUAACCGUGCGGAGAGUGCAAUGGCAUAAGGGCGCUUGACUGUGAGACUGACAAGUCGAUCAGGUACGAAAGUAGAGCAUAGUGAUCCGGUGGUUCCGUAUGGAAGGGCCAUCGCUCAAAGGAUAAAAGGUACUCCGGGGAUAACAGGCUGAUCGCCGCCAAGAGCUCAUAUCGACGCGGCGGUUUGGCACCUCGAUGUCGGCUCGUCACAUCCUGGGGCUGGAGAAGGUCCCAAGGGUUCGGCUGUUCGCCGAUUAAAGUGGCACGCGAGCUGGGUUCAGAACGUCGUGAGACAGUUCGGUCCCUAUCUGUUGUGGGCG
rnacentral:rRNA from 1 species